rnacentral:lncRNA from 1 species
AGAUCUCAAAAAUAGGUUAAAUGAGAGAGGAGGGUAGAACGGUCAUGUAAAAAGAGUGAAAAUAGACUAUUUUAUCAUUUAACAUGUUUUAAGGUGAUCAUUUUAUCAUAUAACAUGUUUUAAUGGUGACUUUUUUAUCAUGUGGAAUAUUUGAAGACUAUUUUAUCAUUUUUACUUUCAAAUGGUAGUUUAAUGUUAAAUACCCAAUUAUUUUUCCAUCCAAAAAAAAAACAGAGGUUAUGAGCGCAAAUAAAAUAUAAAAUUUCAAAAUAAAAGAUUGAGAUCUUAAUAGCUCUUUCUAUGUUUACACAACCACAUAACAAACGCAUAAUUUGGUACUUUGUGGCCAAGAAUCCCCAAGAUGAUAGCUCGUUUCAAGACUUUAUAUGCAAAAAAGUAACAUUUUUUCAGAAAUUGUUAACAAACCCCAAACUUCAUCUCUUCUCUUAGUCAUAAUUAUUUUUUCUUUUGUGUGUGCUGUAAUAGUCUUUUAAUGGGUAUAACCGUAUAAGGGUAUUGGACUCUUGGAGUAGGAUCUCCAUCUCUGAUG